CUCGGGUUGAGUUGGUUCAAGUUAAGGUGAGCAAUCGAGACUAGAUCGGAUCGAUCAAAUCAGCUAAUUCACACCUUCAGACCCUACGAAGAAGUGGACUUACAUCCUAAGUCGUACCAUGAUUUUCGGGUGGAGCUGAAGUUUGCUUAUCGAUUUUCUAAUAAUCUUGUGGAGUUCACGUACGA